rnacentral:rRNA from 1 species
UAAUACGUAGGCAGCGAGCGUUGUUCGGAGUUACUGGGCGUAAAGGGUGUGUAGGCGGUUCUUUAAGUUUGGUGUGAAAUCUCCCGGCUCAACCGGGAGGGUGCGCCGAAUACUGAGGGACUCGAGUGCGGGAGAGGAAAGUGGAAUUCCUGGUGUAGCGGUGAAAUGCGUAGAUAUCAGGAGGAACACCUGUGGUGUAGACGGCUUUCUGGACCAUAGCUGACGCUGAGACACGAAAGCGUGGGUAGCAAACAGGAUUAGAUACCCUGGUAGUCCACGCCCUAAACGAUGCAUACUUGGUGUCGGCCAUUCAGUUGGUCGGUGCCGGAGCUAACGCGUUAAGUAUGCCGCCUGGGGAGUACGGUCGCAAGGCU